rnacentral:rRNA from 1 species
GUGUCAGCAGCCGCGGUAAUACGUAGGGUGCAAGCGUUGUCCGGAAUCAUUGGGCGUAAAGCGCGUGUAGGCGGCUUGGUAAGUCAGCUGUGAAAGCCCAGGGCUCAACCCUGGGAUGCCGGUUGAUACUGCCAAGCUCGAGUCCGGAAGAGGAGUGUGGAAUUCCUGGUGUAGCGGUGAAAUGCGCAGAUAUCAGGAGGAACACCAAUGGCGAAGGCAGCACUCUGGGACGUGACUGACGCUGAGACGCGAAAGCGUGGGGAGCAAACAGGAUUAGAAACCCCUGUAGUCC